rnacentral:lncRNA from 1 species
CCUGCUGAGAUUGUUAAUCUCUGGAAUUCCCUUCAUUUUGAUCUUGUUCAAAUCUUGUGCUCUUGUUUCUUUAUUAUCUUUGUAGCCACUGUUUACUUCAUGUCUAAGCCUAGAAGCAUUUACCUUGUGGAUUAUGCAUGCUACAAACCUCCUGUCACUUGUCGUGUUCCUUUUGCUACUUUCAUGGAGCACUCGAGGCUGAACUUGAGCAACAACCCUAAGAGCGUUGAGUUUCAGAUGAGGAUUCUAGAAAGGUCUGGUCUUGGUGAAGAGACUUGUUUACCUCCUGCUAUUCAUUAUAUUCCUCCAACUCCAACCAUGGAGGCUGCUAGAGGCGAGGCUGAGAUUGUUAUCUUCUCAGCUAUGGAUUCUUUGUUCAAGAAAACGGGGUUAAAACCUAAAGACAUUGAUAUUCUUAUUGUCAACUGCA